rnacentral:rRNA from 1 species
AUUGAACGCUGGCGGCAGGCUUAACACAUGCAAGUCGAGCGGAGAUGAGGUGCUUGCACCUUAUCUUAGCGGCGGACGGGUGAGUAAUGCUUAGGAAUCUGCCAUUUAGUGGGGGACAACAUUCCGAAAGGAAUGCUAAUACCGCAUACGUCCUACGGGAGAAAGCAGGGGAUCUUCGGACCUUGCGCUAAAUGAUGAGCCUAAGUCGGAUUAGCUAGUUGGUGGGGUAAAGGCCUACCAAGGCGACGAUCUGUAGCGGGUCUGAGAGGAUGAUCCGCCACACUGGGACUGAGACACGGCCCAGACUCCUACGGGAGGCAGCAGUGGGGAAUAUUGGACAAUGGGCGGAAGCCUGAUCCAGCCAUGCCGCGUGUGCGAAGAAGGCCUUUUGGUUGUAAAGCACUUUAAGCGAGGAGGAGGCUACUAGUACUAAUACUACUGGAUAGUGGACGUUACUCGCAGAAUAAGCACCGGCUAACUCUGUGCCAGCCGCCGCAGUAA